CUGCCUCUAACCACAAGGUUUAAGGUCGUUACACUUCAAUUCCAAACCUUAAAUCAUUCUUAAAUUACAAGGACUGUUUUGCACUAACACCAUUGAACUUUUUAACUCAGAUGACUAUUAAAACUCAAGCACUUAUAGCACAAGUGUAAUAAGAAUUAAUUGCAACGAUUUUACAACUUCAUAGGAAAUUUUCUUUUUUUUUCAAGUGCAUAACAAGGGUAGAUGACUCGAACUCAAAACCUCUUGGUGGCUAAGACAUAUGUCUACGAGUUAGCAUGAUAGACCAAAUUCGAAAAACAAAGGUGGUUGAUCGGAGAUAAGGAGGGGCUCGAUUAGCAUCGGUUUGGGGAAGUCCACAACGACAUUUUUUAAAAAGAAAACUAAAGGAUAAUACCGACCGACAACUGAUUUGCACUCCCCAAUGAUCAAGGUCAAUUUGAACAUUUGCUAAAUCGAUAAUAGUCAGUUUGGUGGCAGUUAGAUCUGAAAAUUGAUGCACACCCCUACAUAUCUCACUUGAGAUAUGCUCACUUUUAUCGGUUUAGAAUACAAGGUUUGGCCGGAAGUUAAUUUUUCUUUAAUUUUUUACAGCCAAGUGAUUAUUAAUGUCCAUACUAGAUUCUUUGCUGCAAAUUAAAGCUAGUUUCCUUACGAACUUUAAGAAUAAAAAGGAAAAAUAAGAAAAUGCGAGGGAAAGGCGGCAGUAGCAGAGAAAAGGUAAUAAAAAGGAUGCCCAAAAGCUAAGGCAAAUAAAAUGGAAAGAAUAUAAGGAAAGUUACUCAACCAAACCAAAUCAAUCCAAGUUUUUCCAACCACUACUCUGUUAUUAAUAUAAAAAUUGAGUGACUUUAUGGUAAAAGUAUUAGUAAGCUCUUCAUGGAGAGCGCUUGCAGAUUAUAUCUAUUUUUCUUUCUCGGAUAACCCAUCUAACACUAUGACAUUUGGGUGUUAAAGACGUCAGUAAGAUGUUAAAUAUUGGGUGUUAAAGACGUCAGUAAGAUGUUAAAUAUUGGGUGUUAAAGACGUCAGUAAGAUGUUAAAUAUUGGGUGUUAAAGACGUCAGUAAGAUGUUAAAUAUUGGGUGUUAAAGACGUCAGUAAGAUGUUAAAUAUUGGGUGUUAAAGACGGCAGGAAGAUGUUAAAUAUUGAAGAACUUGCAGAUUCUUCUGUAUGAAAAAGGUAAGAAAAAGCUUCAUGAUGAAUGGAAAAAUUUUCAGUAAAGGAAUACAGAAAGAGAACCAUCUAUCUAAUGACUGUUGGGAAUUAUGCAUAACUUUUCUAUCUUCAGUGGGUCCUAUAAGCUAUCAUAAUCGAUACACAAUAAUGUCAUCUAAAUUAAGGACUAAACUAUUGGCUUAAUCUUAGCCAUCCAUUUUUGGGUUAGGUAAUGAGAUUAUAGCAGAGUUAAUAAUGAACAGAUUGAAAUUCAGAAACCCAAUUUCAAG
rnacentral:lncRNA from 1 species